rnacentral:tRNA from 1 species
GGAGAGGUCGCAUAGCCCGGUCGAGUGCGCACGCUUGGAAAGCGUGUAGGCCGCAAGGUCUCGAGGGUUCGAAUCCCUCCCUCUCCG